CUGUUUGUGCUCUUACCAAUGUAAAGGAUGUCACGCUGCCUGCUUAGCGAGUAUCACUUCCUCCCGAUUCGGCCCGUACCUGGCUCGAACCAUCCUCCCUCAGGCAUAUUAGCUGAUCUAAUGCUUGCUAAUGAUUUUACACAAGCGGGACACUUAAGGCUGAGUAAGUUUUACACAUCGUCACGUGCUACACUAACAUGAAAAUGAUACAUGAAAUGAGUUGGCAGCGUCGGUCGAGGGAUACUAACUGAACUAUGCUGAACAAAAAUAUUAAACGCAACAUGUCUGAGAUAUGAUAGUGAGUAAAGAGUUUAUGAGGAAGUACAUCCACAUCGCCAAGGUGUUGAUCCCCACGCUGACCCAGGAAGCGGCCAAUCACAUCGCUGAAGAAUACUCCAGGCUGAGAAACCAGGAACAGCUGGGAUCUGACAUCGCCAGGACGUCCCCAGUAACUGCUCGUACUCUGGAGACCCUCAUCUGUCUGUCUACGGCCCACGCUAAAGCCCGCAUGAGUAAGGCUGUGGAGCUGGAGGACUCUUGAGGUCGCUGUGGAGCUGGAGGACUCUGAGGUCGCUGUGGAGCUGGAGGACUCUGAGGUCGCUGUAGAGCUGGAGGACUCUUGAGGUCGCUGUGGAGCUGGAGGACUCUGAGGUCGCUGUGGAGCUGGAGGACUCUUGAGGUCGCUGUGGAGCUGGAGGACUCUGAGGUCGCUGUGGAGCUGGUUCAGUUCGCUUACUUCAAAAAGGUUCUGGAGAAGAAAAGAGGGAGGAAGGAGUCUGACUCUGAGGAGGAAGAGGAGGAGACAACACAACGUACCCCUCGCUCAGACAAAAAGAGGAGUCGCCGUAGUUCCCAGAGCAGCGCGAGGUCCACGACCCGUAUGACUUCGCUGGAGAGAAGGAGAGUAGGAACCAGAACGCUUCUUUCACUCUAUACAAAGAGGAGCCUAUGGAUGCCCCUGUCCCACCUAGCGAGGACGGACAGACUGACGGACAGACUGAGGUGUCUGUAGACAGGCUGAAGGAGUUUAAGUCCUCUCUCCUGGAGGUGUUCCGUUCCACACAUGCCCAGUCCGGGCUGCCCUCGCUCGCAUGCAGGACGACAACCAGAUCAUGUUGGCUGACGACAUCAUCUUCCUCAUCUGAAGACCUGGGACAACGACAUUAUCAUCCUCAUCUGGUGGAGGGGGAGGAGAUGGAGGGAGAAGGACAGAAGGAGAAGCAAGUCUGAAUGGAAAGAUGUUGUUUCCCGUUUGAGACCAAAAAGGAUGAGAAGGAAUUCAGAAGAAGAAUUUAAGUAGAUUUUCACUGGUUCUUCUGGGUUUUUGGGCCUCUUGCUUCCUCCAGUUAGCCUUUUUGGGCAGCAACCACUUAUGGACUAAAAAGCAGUUUCAACAUUUAGUUUAUUUGCUUUACUCAUGUUUUGGUAUGUACAAGGUCUGGUUACAAUUUAUUAUUAUUAUAAUUUUUUUUUAUUUAACCCGGCAAGUCAGUUAAGAACAAAUUCUUAUUUUCAAUUUGUUAAGUGACUGUCCCACUGGAUGUCAUAAGGUGAAUGCACCAAU